rnacentral:rRNA from 1 species
GACGAACGCUGGCGGCGUGCCUAAUACAUGCAAGUUGAGCGAUGAAGAUUGGUGCUUGCCCCAAUUUGAAGAGCAGCGAACGGGUGAGUAACGCGUGGGGAAUCUGCCUUUGAGCGGGGGACAACAUUUGGAAACGAAUGCUAAUACCGCAUAACAACUUUAAACAUAAGUUUUAAGUUUGAAAGAUGCAAUUGCAUCACUCAAAGAUGAUCCCGCGUUGUAUUAGCUAGUUGGUGAGGUAAAGGCUCACCAAGGCGAUGAUACAUAGCCGACCUGAGAGGGUGAUCGGCCACAUUGGGGCUGAGACACGGCCCAAACUCCUACGGGAGGCAGCAGUAGGGAAUCUUCGGCAAUGGACGAAAGUCUGACCGAGCAACGCCGCGUGAGUGAAGAAGGUUUUCGGAUCGUAAAACUCUGUUGGUAGAGAAGAACGUUGGUGAGAGUGGAAAGCUCAUCAAGUGACGGUAACUACCCAGAAAGGGACGGCUAACUACGUG